GGGCUCCCUACUUUCUGUUACAGGUCUCUGUGCUCAUGACUUAUCUAAACAAGACAGGACCAACCUGAAAUGCAGGUUGUGGGGUCUCUCUCGGAAAUCUUGUUCCUCCUGCUCUUCCAGGCUCCCCUUUCAGCCUCUCCUCAUGGGCUGGAUGUCAGCUGAGAAAGGGAUCAAGGUCAGACGACAUCAGUUCUUUAAAGACACUCCUUGUUGAGGUGUCCUUUUUAGGUGUGUCAUGAGCCGUCGCAUCUGGUGGAGCCUAUGGACCCUGCUUAGAAUACUGCUUUUAAAACCCAUAAAACAGAGGAGUUCCCAGGCUAGGGGUCUCAUCGGAGCUACGGCCGCCAGCCUAUGCCACAGCCGCAGCAAUGCCAAAUCCAAGCCCUGUCUGCAACCUACCCCACAGCUCACGGCAACGCCGGAUCCUUAACCUGCUGAGUGAGGCCAGGGCUCGAACCCAUACCCUUAUGGUUCCUAGUCAGAUUCCUUUCCACUGCACCACAAUGGGAACUCCUCAUCCCCAUUUUACAGAUGAAGAAACAGAGUCCCUCUGCUCUAAGGGCUGCCCACCCCCUCGCUACAGCCUUGGUCAGGGCAGGCAUAGCCACUAUGUCUGGUUUCCUCCUCUCUCCUUGGAAAAGCAUAAUCCCUCCUCAGAGGCUGGGGUGAGACAGAGAAAGAAAGUGGCACUGGGUAGACCUUAGAGAGGAGAGAUCGCCAGAGCAUGAACUCAGGAAUUGGGAGGCUCGCUUAUCAACCAGAGACUUAUCUGCUUCCAUUGGACCUUGGACUUUCUUGGCCCAACCCCACUGAAUGUAUGGAUCAGCUGACAGCCAAGGACUUGGCCAAGGCCACACAGCCAGGCAGCUGCUGGCUGGCACUAAGCCCCAUGUCUCCGGUUUCAUCAUGAAGACUCUCUUUCCCUGCUCUUCCACAUCUGUGUCUGUAGUCACUUGCAAAGCAGAGGACCCAUGCUGGUGCUGGUUGGUUCCUUGGCAGUGAUGAUGUCACUAAUAGUAGUUAACAUUUAUUGGGCGCUUACUCUGUGCCAGGCACAGGCAUCAGGGAUUGUGAACUCAGGUACCUGGAAUGGCAGGGCAAGUAAGGUCACUGAGUGAGGCAGGCCAGGCAGGGAUGCUGGUGGCCUGGAGUGUCAAGGCUCUGGCUAAAUGGGGGACAGCAACUGCCCAGCACCCUGAUGGCCUGCCUAGUAUCACUAGACAUUACUGGGUUUAUAAUUUUUUUUUAUUUUUGGCCAUAGCAUGCAGCAGCUUGAUAUGGGAUCUCAGUUCCCAGACCACGGAUUGAACCCCAGGCCAUAGGGCAGUGAAAGCGCCAAGUCCUAACCACUAGACCACCCAACUGUUGGUUUUUUUGUUUGUUUGUUUGUUUUAAGCCAGAUGUUUGAAUUUUUUACUCAUUUCCCAACUUAAAGUAUUUUAAAACUAAUUCAUAAUUCCCAGGAAAAAAAAUACCCCGGGCAAAUUACAUUGCAUCUCUGGGCCAGUCUGCAAACUCUCCUUGUCUCAUUUUCUUAUUCAACCCUGACAUCCAUUCUGUCAAGAAGCCUUUACCCCUUGUUCUACAGAUGAGGCCAAGCAACGCUCUUUAGUGGGUAAAUCACUUACCAUCUAGCCAAGCCACGUGGUUAGGGUCUGUCUGCCUGACUCCCAAGAUUGCUCCUCUGUUAGACAGCUUCUCAGAUGGGUAAGAGGCCUGUGUUCAGACACAGAGCUGGCACAGUGACAGAACAUCACCAGGGACAGUAAACCGUAGGUCACACAAUUCAGUGUAGUGACAAGGGAUCAUUUGAGAUGAACGUAAUGUUGCAGACACAAAACUCCCCACCUCCUUCUGCCAGAACUCAACAAUGGCUGUCUCUGUGCCCCUUAAUAAAAUUAAGUCACCAUAGAAUCAUUUCUCCCAAUUAUGCAUUCCUUAUCAUAAUGGGAUGUUCAUGUUUGGAGGUUUUGUGUUUUGUUUUGUUUCUAAACUAAGAAUGUAUGUUUAGGGGAAGUGAUGUAUGUGGAAUAAAUAGCUUUGAACU
rnacentral:lncRNA from 1 species